rnacentral:rRNA from 1 species
AUUGAACGCUGGCGGAAUGCUUUACACAUGCAAGUCGAACGGUAGAGGGGGCAACCCCUCGAGAGUGGCGAACGGGUGAGUAAUAUAUCGGAACGUGCCCAGUCGUGGGGAUAACGUAGCGAAAGUUACGCUAAUACCGCAUACGAUCUAAGGAUGAAAGCGGGGGAUCGCAAGACCUCGCGCGAUUGGAGCGGCCGAUAUCAGAUUAGGUAGUUGGUGGGGUAAAGGCUCACCAAGCCAACGAUCUGUAGCUGGUCUGAGAGGACGACCAGCCACACUGGAACUGAGACACGGUCCAGACUCGUACGGGAGGCAGCAGUGGGGAAUUUUGGACAAUGGACGCAAGUCUGAUCCAGCCAUUCCGCGUGCAGGAUGAAGGCCCUCGGGUUGUAAACUGCUUUUGUACGGAACGAAAAGGUCUCUCUUAAUACGGGGGGCUCAUGACGGUACCGUAAGAAUAAGCACCGGCUAACUACGUGCCAGCCGCCGCAGUAA